UAGCCCUUCAGAGGGGGACAACAGUUGGAAACGACUGCUAAUACCGCAUACGAUCUAAUCUCGGCAUCGAGGAAAGAUGAAAGGUGGCCUCUAUUUAUAAGCUAUCACUGAAGGAGGGGAUUGCGUCUGAUUAGCUAGUUGGAGGGGUAACGGCCCACCAAGGCGAUGAUCAGUAGCCGGUCUGAGAGGAUGACCAGCCACACUGGAACUGAGACACGGUCCAGACUCCUACGGGAGGCAGCAUG
rnacentral:rRNA from 1 species